rnacentral:rRNA from 1 species
CCCUUAGAUGUCCGGGGCCGCACGCGCGCUACACUGAAGGAAUCAGCGUGGCUUUCUCCCUGACCCGAAAGGGUUGGGAAACCCGUUGAAGCUCCUUCGUGAUAGGGAUUGGGGCUUGAAAUUGUUCCCCAUGAACGAGGAAUUCCCAGUAAGCGCGAGUCAUAAGCUCGCGUUGAUUACGUCCCUGCCCUUUGUACACACCGCCCGUCGCUACUACCGAUUGAACGGUUUAGUGAGGGCCUCGGAUUGGUCUCGGCCCGCUCUUUACCGGGCGGCGCCGUUGGUCGAGAAGACGCUCGAACUUGAUCGUUUAGAGGAAGUAAAAGUCGUAACA